GGGGCUGCAGCUCGGUGUCAGAGCCUCUGCUUCGCAUGCAAAAGGUCCCAGGUUCAAUCCCUGGCAUUUCCA
rnacentral:tRNA from 1 species